GUAGGUGGCAAGCGUUGUCCGGAAUUAUUGGGCGUAAAGCGCGCGCAGGCGGUUCUUUAAGUCUGAUGUGAGAGCCCACGGCUCAACCGUGGAGGGUCAUUGGAAACUGGAGAACUUGAGUACAGAAGAGGAAAGCGGAAUUCCACGUGUAGCGGUGAAGUGCGUAGAGAUGUGGAGGAACACCAGUGGCGAAGGCGGCUUUCUGGUCUGUAACUGACGCUGAGGCGCGAAAGCGUGGGGGAGCAAACAGGAUUAGAUACCCUGGUAGUCCACGCCGUAAACGAUGAGUGCUAAGUGUUAGGGGGUUUCCGCCCCUUAGUGCUGCAGCUAACGCAUUAAGCACUCCGCCUGGGAGUACGGCCGCAAGGCUG
rnacentral:rRNA from 1 species